rnacentral:misc_RNA from 1 species
UCGAACCCUGCAAAGCAGAGACGACCCGCGAACAUGUACAUACAAUCGGGUUUGAUGGAUAUUGACUCUGGCCUUUGUCCAUGGAGCCCUGUCGGCAUACGUUUGUGGUCAUCCGUUCGGAACGACACGAAAGUCAUGCCGGCGCCAUAACAAACCCCGCACGGAAUGUGCCAAGGAAAACGAAAUAUGAGAAGGGCAUGUCCAUUAUCGCCCCGUACGCGGUGUGCGUGUUGGUGUGACCUCCUUGAAAUCACA